rnacentral:rRNA from 1 species
AGUGAACGCUGGCGGUAGGCCUAACACAUGCAAGUCGAACGGCAGCACAGUAAGAGCUUGCUCUUACGGGUGGCGAGUGGCGGACGGGUGAGGAAUACAUCGGAAUCUACUUUUUCGUGGGGGAUAACGUAGGGAAACUUACGCUAAUACCGCAUACGACCUACGGGUGAAAGCAGGGGAUCUUCGGACCUUGCGCGAUUGAAUGAGCCGAUGUCGGAUUAGCUAGUUGGCGGGGUAAAGGCCCACCAAGGCGACGAUCCGUAGCUGGUCUGAGAGGAUGAUCAGCCACCCGGGAACUGGAACACGGCCCGGCCCCCCAGGGGGGGCAGCAGGGGGAAAUUUUGGAAAAGGGGGGCAACCCUGACCCGGCCAACCCGGGGGGGUGAAAAAGGCCUUCGGGUGGUAAAGCCCUUUUGUUGGGAAAAAAAAGCAGCAGGUUAAUCCCCCGCUGUUCUGACGGUACCAAAAAAAAAAGCACCGGCUAACUUCGU